rnacentral:rRNA from 1 species
GUCCACGCCGUAAACGAUGUCGACUUGGAGGUUGUGCCCUUGAGGCGUGGCUUCCGGAGCUAACGCGUUAAGUCGACCGCCUGGGGAGUACGGCCGCAAGGUUAAAACUCAAAUGAAUUGACGGGGGCCCGCACAAGCGGUGGAGCAUGUGGUUUAAUUCGAUGCAACGCGAAGAACCUUACCUGGUCUUGACAUCCACAGAACUUUCCAGAGAUGGAUUGGUGCCUUCGGGAACUGUGAGACAGGUGCUGCAUGGCUGUCGUCAGCUCGUGUUGUGAAAUGUUGGGUUAAGUCCCGCAACGAGCGCAACCCUUAUCCUUUGUUGCCAGCGGUCCGGCCGGGAACUCAAAGGAGACUGCCAGUGAUAAACUGGAGGAAGGUGGGGAUGACGUCAAGUCACCAUGGCCCUUACGACCAGGGCUACACACGUGCUACAAUGGCGCAUACAAAGAGAAGCGACCUCGCGAGAGCAAGCGGACCUCAUAAAGUGCGUCGUAGUCCGGAUUGGAGUCUGCAACUCGACUCCAUGAAGUCGGAAUCGCUAGUAAUCGUGGAUCAGAAUGCCACGGUGAAUACGUUCCCGGGCCUUGUACACACCGCCCGUCACACCAUGGGAGUGGGUUGCAAAAGAAGUAGGUAGCUUAACCUUCGGGAGGGCGCUUACCACUUUGUGAUUCAUGACUGG